UAGUUGGUAAGGUAACGGCUUACCAAGGCGACGAUCAGUAGCCGACCUGAGAGGGUGAUCGGCCACAUUGGAACUGAGACACGGUCCAAACUCCUACGGGAGGCAGCAGUGGGGAAUAUUGCACAAUGGGCGAAAGCCUGAUGCAGCAACGCCGCGUGAGUGAUGAAGGCCUUCGGGUCGUAAAACUCUGUCCUCAAGGAAGAUAAUGACGGUACUUGAGGAGGAAGCCCCGGCUAACUACGUGCCAGCAGCCGCGGUAAGACGUAGGGGGCUAGCGUUAUCCGGAUUUACUGGGCGUAAAGGGUGCGUAGG
rnacentral:rRNA from 1 species